rnacentral:lncRNA from 1 species
ACUACUCUCUAAUUGAUAGACAUACACCUUAUAGAGAGCCGAGGGAGAUCGUACUACGUUGCUCGACCAACCAAACUCCCUUAAUCUCCAAAGCAAGCCUAAACAAGAAGUGUCUAUACAUCAAAUCUCAGCCAACAACGGACUCUUAACAAAACCACCUCCAAAAUUCUCCCAAUACCAUUAAUUCUAAAGAAAUCUUCCAAAAAUCCUUAGCAUAUGUAUCCAAAAUAGUAAACCUUACCUA